rnacentral:rRNA from 1 species
GGUAUCUAAUCCUGUUUGCUCCCCACGCUUUCGCACCUCAGUGUCAGUAUCAGUCCAGGUGGUCGCCUUCGCCACUGGUGUUCCUUCCUAUAUCUACGCAUUUCACCGCUACACAGGAAAUUCCACCACCCUCUACCGUACUCUAGCUCAGUAGUUUUGGAUGCAGUUCCCAGGUUGAGCCCGGGGAUUUCACAUCCAACUUGCUGAACCACCUACGCGCGCUUUACGCCCAGUAAUUCCGAUUAACGCUUGCACCCUUCGUAUUACCGCGGCUGCUGGCACGAAGUUAGCCGGUGCUUAUUCUGUUGGUAACGUCAAAACAGCAAGGUAUUAACUUACUGCCCUUCCUCCCAACUUAAAGUGCUUUACAAUCCGAAGACCUUCUUCACACACGCGGCAUGGCUGGAUCAGGCUUUCGCCCAUUGUCCAAUAUUCCCCACUGCUGCCUCCCGUAGGAGUCUGGACCGUGUCUCAGUUCCAGUGUGACUGAUCAUCCUCUCAGACCAGUUACGGAUCGUCGCCUUGGUAGGCCUUUACCCCACCAACUAGCUAAUCCGACCUAGGCUCAUCUGAUAGCGUGAGGUCCGAAGAUCCCCCACUUUCUCCCUCAGGACGUAUGCGGUAUUAGCGCCCGUUUCCGGACGUUAUCCCCCACUACCAGGCAGAUUCCUAGGCAUUACUCACCCGUCCGCCACUGAAUCCAGGAGCAAGCUCCCUUCAUCCGCUCGACUUGCAUGUGUUAGGCCUGCCGCCAGCGUUCAAUCUGAGCCAGGAUCAAACUCUC